rnacentral:tRNA from 1 species
GCGAGGGUGGCGGAGUGGUCAAUCGCGCAAGCCUAAGGUAUGGGUGAUUUAAUAUUAAAUUACUCAUGUAAAAAGCUUGUCCCUUAGUGGGUUCGAGGGUUCGAAUCCCUUCCCUCGCA